UAUCGGUUUACCAUCCGGAGGUCUUGACAAUUUUUAUUCAAUAUUUUUUGUUGCAAAAACCAACACUUUCAUACAAGGAAAAAAAAAUAGAAAAAAUAAAAUAAUUUUCCCAUUUAUUUUGCAAAUCUAUUUUAUAAAGAAGAGAAACAAGCAACUGAAACGUUUUCAAUUAUUUGAGUGUAGAUUAAUGAUAGAGCCACAGAAUCCACAGGAGGUCAACCUAUAACAUCUUGUUACUUUGACAAUUCGCCAGAUACCUCGUCUGUGUACAUUGCACGGUCCUGGGACUAUGCAAGAAUACAUCUUCGACAAGUGCAUCAUGCUUAUCAACAUAGUGUUUCCAGAGUCCGGCGAACAAUGUGACAUUUUUAUAUGGUCCAAAACAUUUCUGGGAUUAUUGUCAUCACCCUUAAACCGGCACAUACAUGUGCGAUUCCAAUCUUUGUGAGCGGCAACGUUUAAGCCGGCUUAGCUUUGGAGCCUUUUUGAAGCGUUUGUAUAUGUGAUACUGGCACUAACUUGUAUAUCUGAUACUGGCACUAACUUGUAUAUCUGAUACUGGCACUAACUGCCGGUCCACACUACAUAUAAAACAUUACAUAUGUAAAAUACAAGUGGAAAUACAUAUGUAAUUUUUUUCGAUUAGAGCGUGCUCUAUUUUUGCGUGACAAACAUCUGUUUUGUUUUAAAAUACAAUUUUUCGAUUAAAUUAAUUAAAAAAAUUAAAGAACAUGAAAAAGUAAGUACUUUUGAAUUUUUAAUAAACUAGUUUAUAAUUUUAACAAUUUUUACACAUUAAAAAAACAGCUUUAAUUACAUUUAUAGGUUAUGUCAUAUGGAAAAACACAGGCUGGUGUGAUAGCAAAAAUUAUGAAUCGUAUGUAAAGUAAAAAUUUUGACAUACAUUCGGAAUUACAUAUGGAUAGAAAAAAGUGACAGUACAUAUGUAAAAUAAUAAUAGCACCUUAACUUGUUUUAUUAUUCUUUUUAUUCGUAUAACAACAAUUAAUAAUACGUAGUUUCUGAAACAAAAAUUUCUAUGUGUGGACAUUAAGCUCAAUUACAACUGGAACCGCUGUCCAAUUGUAAUUGGACAGCUGUCAUUACACAAAAAGAGCGAGCGACGAAUUAAGAUUUAGCGACUGUCGACAGACAACAUUUACUUACCUUUAUAAGAAAAAUCAACGCAAAAUGAAGUUUUGUUUAAAAUUAUUUUUUAUGAAAUUAAAAGGAAUGUUAGAAAAAUAUUCUGAACGAACAGACAUAUUAUUUUUCUCGUUUAGUUGCGCAAAUUAGCUUUUGCAAGAUAUUUAGCAAAAUAUUCUGAACAUAUGGCAACCCUACAAUAUAAAAAUAAGAGAAUAAUGAGAGGAUCGCCAAAGAUCGCAAUAAAAGUAAAAUAUAAUCUAUUCCAACCACAAUGUCGCCAGCCACAAUAUGAUAUUUUGUCCUCCAUAUGUAUAAAAAUUCAUUGCGGACAAUGGUUGUGGUUUCAAUUGUAAUUAAGCUGUUACUUAAAAACUGCGCGUGCCUAUGCGAAAUUUCAACUGUCUAGCACUUCCUGUGUGGUCUCUAUUGUGAUUUAAAGAGAUAGAUGGCUAUAUAGUCUCAGAAUCUAAUAAGGACCCAGGAUAUACCUAUGGGUGUUUGACGAAUAUUUCGAUGUGCUACAACCGGAGCGACAAAAUCAGUAUACCAUUUUUUGAUAUAAUAACAGGAAAAUUUUACAAUACUUCUUGAUCAGCUGAAGUAUAUAAACGUUUCUUAGUGUAGGGAUCACAGGAUUACGAAAUAAAGUUUUACUCCAUUUAAUUUCUAGUU